UACGAAGGGAGCUAGCGUUGUUCGGAAUCACUGGGCGUAAAGCGCACGUAGGCGGAUUUGCCAGUCAGGGGUGAAAUCCCGGGGCUCAACCUCGGAACUGCCUUUGAUACAGCAAGUCUUGAGUUCGAGAGAGGUGGGUGGAAUUCCUAGUGUAGAGGUGAAAUUCGUAGAUAUUAGGAAGAACACCAGUGGCGAAGGCGGCUCACUGGUCCGGUACUGACGCUGAGGUGCGAAAGCGUGGGGAGCAAACAGG
rnacentral:rRNA from 1 species